rnacentral:rRNA from 1 species
GACGAACGCUGGCGGCGUGCCUAAUACAUGCAAGUUGAGCGCUGAAGGUUGGUACUUGUACCAACUGGAUGAGCAGCGAACGGGUGAGUAACGCGUGGGGAGUCUGCCUUUGAGCGGGGGACAACAUUUGGAAACGAAUGCUAAUACCGCAUAAAAACUUUAAACACAAGUUUUAAGUUUGAAAGAUGCAAUUGCAUCACUCAAAGAUGAUCCCGCGUUGUAUUAGCUAGUUGGUGAGGUAAAGGCUCACCAAGGCGAUGAUACAUAGCCGACCUGAGAGGGUGAUCGGCCACAUUGGGACUGAGACACGGCCCAAACUCCUACGGGAGGCAGCAGUAGGGAAUCUUCGGCAAUGGACGAAAGUCUGACCGAGCAACGCCGCGUGAGUGAAGAAGGUUUUCGGAUCGUAAAACUCUGUUGGUAGAGAAGAACGUUGGUGAGAGUGGAAAGCUCAUCAAGUGACGGUAACUACCCAGAAAGGGACGGCUAACUACGUG